CUCAUAUCUUAGUUACUGAAAAAGAUGUGGAAAGGAAGAGAAGAAUAGGAAUUUUCGUCUUCUAUUCUUAUCCCAAUGAAUAAGAAUUUUUUUCUCCCAUUCUUAUCCCAAAGGACAACAAUCUUUGGGAUUGAUAUCCAUUUUUUUUAUAAAAAAAAAAAAAGACAAAAACAAACAAACAAAUAAAGGUUGUUGACUGGUAGGUACCCCCUUCCUGGGAUUGAUCUCCAAGAUAAAGCUAAUUUGUUGACUUUGAGGUGCUGCAUUUCUUGCUUACUUCACCCUCCCAUAUUUUCUCCCUAAUGAAACAACUUAAAUACUAAGUCUCAUACCCUGUAGAAUCAGUGCAGAAAUCUCCAGUCCAUGGUAGUUUCAGCAGUUAUCAUUUAUGGCUUCAAGCAGCACUCAAGCACCCUCUUCUUCUAUCCCUCCCUGGAGUCAUGAUGUUUUCUUGAGUUUCAGAGGGAAAGACACCCGCAAAAAUUUUAUGGAUCAUCUAUACACAGCUUUGGUUGCAAAUGGAAUUCACACCUUUAGAGAUGAUGAAGAACUUGAUAGAGGAGCACCAGGACUCUUGAAAGCUAUCGAGCAGUCAAGGAUUUCCAUUGUUAUUUUCUCGAAAAUUAUGCUGAUUCUAGAUGGUGUUCGGAUGAAGUUAUAAAGAUUAUUGAGUGUGGCAACAAUGAGGCGAAUGGCUCUCCAAGUUUUCUACCAUGUGGAUCCAACCGAAGUGAGAAACCAGACGGGGAGUUAUGGGAAAGCAUUUAUGGAGUAUGAAAAAGAUGUGAGCAAGGAGAAUAGAGAGAAGAUAGAGAAGUGGAGAGCAGCCUUGAAAGAAGCAAUCAAUCUAUCUGGAUGGCACCUUCAUAAUCAGUAAGUGCUAUUACUUUUGUUUUUCCUUCUUUUUCUUGGAUUAUGUUUGGUUUCCCAAAAAUUUAGAGAGAAUAUAUGAGAAAAAAAAAUAGAGAGAAAAAUAAAAGAAAAAUAAAAAAUAGAUUUAAAAUCAUAAAAUACUUCUUCAAACUCAUUUAAUUUAUUUUAACUUUUCAUGUAAAGAUAAAAUAAUUUGAAAAUGCAUAAGUUAGCCAUCACUUUUGUCUUUCACUAUCCAAAGAGAAAAGAAUCUUACCCUCUACCCUCUUGAACUACCUAUUAUUUGUGUGCUAAGGAAUAUAGUUGAAUCAUUGGGUUGAAAAUCAUGGGUCUACGAGACUUUCGAGAACAUUGAUUUAAUUCUUCAACACUUGAAUUUAAGGCUUGAGAACAUUCAAACCUAAAAAUCAGUAUUUUAACCCUAAAAAUCAAUUUUUUUAAAAAAAAUUGACAUUAUUUCUGUUAUUUAAAUCUAAAAUGUCAACAAUUGAUAUCAAAGCUUGAGUGGGGACCACUAGGACCUAUAAGAUAGCACUUUCUCCUUCAUAAUCCUAUUUUGAAGUUGAUUCAACAUCCCACUAUAGAGAAUCAAUUGCACUCUAGUACCCUAUGUAAAUGAUAAUGAGACAAAAAGUGCUUAAGUCUGUGACUUGCUAUCCAUUGCACUCAAUCUCCCUAUGAACUAGUGUCUAUAGUCUAACAAAGAGAAAAUUAUCAACCUUUUAAGACUAACUCUACUAUCCUUAAGUUGGAGAUCCUUAUAUUAUGUGAUAAAUUGACAUAUCUUACCUUACAAAGAGUUUAUGUUAAGUUCUAGUUAAAUAACUAUUAUGACCAUAGUUUACAUGAACACAUCUCCUUAGGAUUACUCAAGAGGACACUCUAUCUCAAUUCUAUAAGAUAUCAUGGUAUCUCUAUUGAGAAUAUCUAUUUCUAUCAACUUUCAUUAAUUGUUACCUGAUCUAUAAGGAAUAUGUGAUCACUUUAGGAUCCCACUCGUAAAUCAAAGUCAUUGUUAACUUUGAAACAAAUUCAAUAUUUUAUCAAGGUUAAGAGAUAAUACAACGUAGUAGUUUGGUGAAGUUAUGACUACUCAAUAACCUUACAUCGUAAUUCACCAUAGGUUCUUUCUAAUGUGUAACCAUACACAGUAGUGCAUUCAUAAUGAGAAACUCAUCCCAAUGGCCAAGACUAGUCAUCCCUUGAAUUAAGAGGUAGUGUACUAUAACCUCUAAUGGUUUAUUCGAUAUACAUUUUAAAAUAAUUAUUCUACUUAAUAACCUACAAGAACCCAUUUUAACGUGUAAGAACUUGAAUUGUGCAUAAAUUUGACAUGGGCUGGUAAUUAAUUACCCAACCUUAGGUUAGGUUUGGCAUAAGUUAGGCAUUUUGAUAUCAAGUUAGGCAUAGUAGCCUUUUAACCUUUCCAAUCCACCCAAGAGUUACAACCCUAUUUCUUCCUUAUUGUAUCGUGUUUUUACCCAUAUUCUUUCUUCCUCAUAAUUAAUUCUACCUCUUACAUCAAUUAUCUUCCGAGAAUUAAUUCCAUUUUUCCACAUUAAUUAUUAAAAAAAAAGCACAUAAAUAGGCAAUUGAUUCAAUUGUAGUACAUUAUUUACAAGAGAAAAAGAAUAAAAAUCCUGUAAGAUUGGAAAAAAGACAAUUCUUCUCUUCUAUUUCAUUAGUGAUAAGAAUUAGAAUGGUUCAUUGAUUCUCUUAUCCUACAUUAACAAAAAAAAAAAAAAAACUUAAAAAUGUAUAAUGGAUUCCAUUAUCCUACAUCAAUCACCAAAAAACAAAAUAAAAAUCAAUCAAAAAUUGGAAAAAAGACAACUCUUCCAUCCAUUCCUAGAAUAUUUUGAAACUGACCCGCUCCCAUCCUGGACCAUAUGCUCAUACUUCUUAAAGGCGCAUUGCAUGGCUAUUGUGUCAAUGAUGAGGUGAAGUGUGUGUAUAUAUAUAUAUAUAUAUAUAUAUUCUUUUUAAAAACUAAAAUAUAUUAACUCUUUUUAAAAUAGAUUUGAUAAUUGUAAUUUUAUUUUAGAAAAUAAAAAAUUUAUUUAUGUAUUCCUGGACUCUUUGACCUUUCAUUUUAAAACUUAUUGGAGAAUAUUUUUUUUAAUACUUUUAUUAUUGUAAUUUUUACUAUCAAGUUUGACAUUAGAAAAAUCAUUUUUAAUUUAAAAAUAAAAAUACUAAAAAUUGUAUUUCCAUUUUUAGUUUCAUUUUCUUUUUUUUUUUUUCUUUUUUAUUAUCUCUACAAAUAAACCUCAUAAUAUGAAGGUCAGUUUUCAGACAAAAAAAAAUUCUUAUUCUUGGAAGUUCCAAGAAAGUCGAAAGGCAAUCCCAUCCUUCUUUCUUUCCGAAGUCUAUAAAUAUUCUUGAAAAUAGUUUCCAAACAAGCCCUCAAUUUUCUAACUUUUCUUCCAUUCUCAAUUUUCUACCUACGAUGAAUCAUGACAUUCUAUCAGGUAGUCAUGAAUUCACCAAGCUACUAUAUUGCAUGAGAUCUCAACCUUGAGAGAAUAUUGAACUUGUGUUGAUGUCAAUGACUUUGACCUAUGGGUGAGACCCUAUGGUGGUUGUAUAUUUCCUAGGGAUUGAGUCAAUGUUGAUUAAGAUAGGUGGAAAUAGCUAUUAACAAGAUAAACAUCAUGAUAUUUCAUGGGAUUAAAAUAAUGCAUCCCCUUAGGUAAUCCUAAAGACAUAUAAUCAUGAAAUAUGUAGUAAUAAUUCCCUAAGUGGAAUUUGACAUAUUCUCUUAGAAAGUUAGAAUAUGUUAGUUGAUUACAUAAUAGGAAGAUUUAAGACUAAAGGAUGGUAGAGGUAACAUUUAGAGUUUAGUAGCAUCUACAUUAUUAGAUUAUAUACAUUAGUUCAUAGGGAGUUUGCAUAUAGUGGAUAGUAGGUCACAAACUCGAGCUUUAUAUCUCAUUAUAAUAUCAUAAAAUAGUGUAGUGUAGUUACAUCUCCAUUGUGGAAUAUUGAGUCAACUUUAGAAUUAGAUUCUAAGGGAGUCAGUAUUUUCUUAUGGUCCUAAUGGUCUCCAUUGGAGCUCAUAUUCCUUGGUGGUAUAGUUUUUAAGGGAUAUAUGUAUUCUUUAUUCUUAAGUGUGCUUAAUGGCAUUUUGGAAAAAACACAAGAUUGUACAAGAGCUUGCGAAAGGUCUUUUUGGAUUGAUCAAUUAAUUAGGAUCCAAUGGGUUAGGGUUAAAUGACCCAAACCUAAGAUAAACUAAAGUCACUUAAGCUUAUAAGGAAGUCUAUAUAAAACACCUUAGGGAUUAAGGCUUGAAAUCUAAUCAUUUUGUUUUCCAGCCCUAGUUUCCACCCCCAAGUUAGGAUUCCACCAUUCUCAAACGCUAAGAUCUAAGAAAGGGCUAUUGAGUGAAAGAUCGUGAGCUUUUCAAGAUAUGCAUCAUCAUUUUCUUCAACUGUAAUUGAUAUGAGAACAUCCAGAUCAAAGACGAGGAUCUAGUAGAAUCACAUAUUGAGCAAGUUCAACAAGUGGCCAGCAAGACAUGUAUCCAUUGUUGCCCUUUUCUUUUUUCCUCUUUUUAGUGUAGACUGUUGCCAUGUAGGCAUUUCCUUACAUAUGUUCAGGAUUUGAAAAUUGGAUGCUAAGGUUGGCUCUUAUGCACUCAAAAUUUUGUAUCUUAAAAAUGGUUAUGAAUAUGUUGUUUCCUUAAAAAUACUUCAUUAUACUUCUC